AUACGUAGGUGACAAGCGUUAUCCGGAUUUACUGGGCGUAAAGGGCGUGUAGGCGGUCUUGCAAGUCAGAAGUGAAAUUCCUGAGCUCAACUCGGGCGCUGCUUCUGAAACUGCAGGACUUGAGUGCUGGAGGGGAUAGCGGAAUUCCUAGUGGAGCGGUAAAAUGCGCAGAUAUUAGGAAGAACACCGGUGGCGAAGGCGGGUAUCUGGACAGUACCUUGCGCUGAGGCGCGAAAGCGUGGGGAGCAAACAGGAGUAGAUACCCGGGUAGUCCACGCCGUAAACGAUGAAUACUAGGUGUUGGGGGUCUAUAGACCCUCGGUGCCGCAGCAAACGCAAGAAGUAUUCCACCUGGGGAGUAAGUUCGCAAGAAUGAUACUCAAAGGAAUUGACGGGG
rnacentral:rRNA from 1 species